GCAGUAGCUCAGUGGUAGAGCACCUGAUCUGUAGACAGACAGUCCCAGCUUCAGUUCCUGGCAUCUCCA